UGGGGAAUUUUGCGCAAUGGGCGAAAGCCUGACGCAGCAACGCCGCGUGCGGGAUGAAGGCUCUCGGGUCGUAAACCGCUUUCAGCAGGGAUGAAAUUGACAGUACCUGCAGAAGAAGCCCCGGCUAAAUACGUGCCAGCAGCCGCGGUAAUACGUAUGGGGCAAGCGUUAUCCGGAUUCAUUGGGCGUAAAGAGCGCGUAGGCGGCUUGUUAAGUUAGAUGUGAAAUCCGGGGGCUUAACCCGCGGCUUGCAUCUAAAACUGGCAGGCUUGAGUCUGGUAGAGGAGUGUGGAAUUCCCAGUGUAGCGGUGAAAUGCGCAGAUAUUGGGAGGAACACCAGUGGCGAAGGCGGCACUCUGGGCCACGACUGACGCUGAGGCGCGAAAGCUAGGGGAGCAAACAGG
rnacentral:rRNA from 1 species